rnacentral:rRNA from 1 species
UACGUAGGGGGGCUAGCGUUGUCCGGAUUUAUUGGGCGUAAAGAGCGUGUAGGCGGCCAGGUAGGUCUGGUGUGAAAACUCGAGGCUUAACCUCGAGAUGUCAUCGGAAACCAUCUGGCUAGAGUCCGGAAGAGGAGAGUGGAAUUCCUGGUGUAGCGGUGAAAUGCGCAGAUAUCAGGAAGAACACCAAUGGCGAAAGCAGCUCUCUGGGACGGUACUGACGCUGAGACGCGAAAAGCGUGGGGAGCAAACAGG